AGAAAUGUACAAUUUUGAUUUAGGGAAAUCACCCAUUACGUGGGGUUAUACACUUUUUUUUUCUUUCUAUUUUUGGUUUUUCAUUUUUAUAUAUAUAUUUUUAUGUUAAAAUUAAUUAUUUCAAUUCAUCUUUAGUGUUUCUUCUCUCCUUCUCCUUUCCUCGCCAAACUUUCAAAGCCCCUUUCUCUGUUCUUCUCUUUGAUAACCACAUCCACUCCCCACCUACCCACUCCCAUCCCCUUCUCUCCAUCAUACUCAAACACUCAGUCAAAGCACAGAAGUCUGCCCAGCCGACCAUGCCCUCUUAGAUUCGACCCUUUGUCUCCUACAGAAGCUCCAAGCCUAAAAUGAAUGGGUUUGAAGUUCAUCAUUCCUCCCAAUAAUCGUUGUUCAUCAAAAAUUACUUGCUCGAUCAAACAUUCAUUCAUUAAAAGUUGGCACAAGCAACUUUUAGAGAAACAAAUUUUCGAUUUUGUUGAUUCGUGUUUUGGGCAGUUUCUGGCUAAACUUGAUUGUACAAUUCAAAACUAGCUUAUCCAUAAUAUGCUGCUUAGAGAGUUGCAACACUCCAACCCACUUUAGAUUUGGGUUGGCAUUGAUUUGAGCUCAAGUGAUAAGUUGAAUUAUGCAUAGUAUGAUAAUGGUAUUUUUUCAAUAUAUUUUAAAGUUAAAUCGAAGAUCACUAAUAAAUUGCUAAAGAAAUGUGGAUACGAGUGGGAGUGAGAGUAUCAUUGUCGUUAUUAGAUAGUUAGCAAAGCAUUACCCAAGAAGACAAAGGGAAAGGGUUUUUAAAAUUUGUUGUUGUUUACCAUAUUAUUGGCAAGACAAAGGCUUAUUGACUGUGCA